CAUGUAGGCGGUUUCGUAAGCCUGGUGUGAAAUCCUGCAGCUUAACUGUAGAAUUGCAUUGGGUACUGCGAGACUUGAAUCACGGAGGGGAAACUAGAAUUCCAGGUGUAGGGGUGGAAUCUGUAGAUAUCUGGAAGAAUACCGGUGGCGAAGGCGGGUUUCUAGCCGAUGAUUGACGCUGAGGUGCGAAAGUGCGGGGAGCAAACAG
rnacentral:rRNA from 1 species